rnacentral:rRNA from 1 species
AAUGAACGCUGGCGGCAUGCCUAACACAUGCAAGUCGAACGAGACCUUCGGGUCUAGUGGCGCACGGGUGCGUAACGCGUGGGAAUCUGCCCUUGGGUUCGGAAUAACAGUUAGAAAUGACUGCUAAUACCGAAUGAUGUCGUAAGACCAAAGAUUCAUCGCCCAGGGAUGAGCCCGCGUAGGAUUAGCUAGUUGGUGUGGUAAAAGCGCACCAAGGCGACGAUCCUAGCUGGUCUGAGAGGAUGAUCAGCCACACUGGGACUGAGACACGGCCCAGACUCCUACGGGAGGCAGCAGUGGGGAAUCUUGCGCAAUGGGCGAAAGCCUGACGCAGCGACGCCGCGUGAGGGAUGACGGCCUCGGUUG